rnacentral:rRNA from 1 species
AUGAACGCUGGCGGCGUGCCUAAUACAUGCCCGUCGAGCGAACAGACGAGGAGCAUGCUCCUCUGACGUUAGCGGCGGACGGGUGAGUAACACGUGGAUAACCUACCUAUAAGACUGGGAUAACUUCGGGAAACCGGAGCUAAUACCGGAUAAUAUAUUGAACCGCAUGGUUCAAUAGUGAAAGACGGUUUUGCUGUCACUUAUAGAUGGAUCCGCGCCGCAUUAGCUAGUUGGUAAGGUAACGGCUUACCAAGGCGACGAUGCGUAGCCGACCUGAGAGGGUGAUCGGCCACACUGGAACUGAGACACGGUCCAGACUCCUACGGGAGGCAGCAGUAGGGAAUCUUCCGCAAUGGGCGAAAGCCUGACGGAGCAACGCCGCGUGAGUGAUGAAGGUCUUCGGAUCGUAAAACUCUGUUAUUAGGGAAGAACAAAUGUGUAAGUAACUAUGCACGUCUUGACGGUACCUAAUCAGAAAGCCACGGCUAACUACGUG